UACGUAGGGUGCGAGCGUUAAUCGGAAUUACUGGGCGUAAAGCGUGCGCAGGCGGUUUUGUAAGCCAGAUGUGAAAGCCCCGGGCUUAACCUGGGAAUGGCAUUUGGGACUGCAAGGCUGGAGUACGGCAGAGGGAGGUGGAAUUCCAGGUGUAGCAGUGAAAUGCGUAGAUAUCUGGAGGAACACCGGUGGCGAAGGCGGCAUCCUGGACCGACACUGACGCUGAGGCGCGAAAGCUAGGGGAGCAAACGGG
rnacentral:rRNA from 1 species